AUUUGUGCUGCACAGCAGUUUGGAUACCUGUAAGCAGCCGUGCAUCCUGCUGCAUGCAUCCCCGCACAGUAGAGAGAAUUCAAGCAGAUUCUUAAACCAGAAAUCAGCAA
rnacentral:lncRNA from 12 species